rnacentral:lncRNA from 1 species
UCACAGGGCUCAAAUCCAAAACUCACAAAUCAAAUGAGCAUGUUAACAGAGAUGUUCAAUACAUUUUUCUGCUAAUUAACGUAUAAAAAUACUCCUGCAAUAAUAUUGGAGGCCAGGACAGUGACCGCUGUGAAGCUCUGCACAUAAUAAAUAUAAUAUAUGUCAACAUCUUGAUGGUUUAUCUUAAUAUUAAUUGGUCCACGAAGAAGAUAACCAGAGGGUUACAAAGAUUGAUAGAUGGUAUACCAUGUUAUUCAGAAAUUCAUAUAAUAAUAACCCCAAAAAGGAAGAUCCCAUUUUGUGGCCUCCAAGGCAGGAAAACUCCAUGCCAGUCAUGGCAAAAAGUAUGCUUUACGUGUUAGACCUUCAUGCUUUGAAAUCAUUCCACGUAGAGGGGCAACGAAAUUGAAGUUCUUUUCAGUUAUGAUCUCAUAUAAUAUAUUCAUCACAAUGUUUGUAAUGCGGAUAUAUUUUCAAUCAUUAAAUGGAUCACAAGAUAUAUUUUCCCUAUCCAUUGAAAUACUUGUAGGUUUAAUUUAUGGCUUCAAUGUUUUGGCCAGAUAUUAUGUGUUUUGUUAGUGAGCCUGAUCAUACCAGAGGGCUUGAGUAUAGAAACCCCCUCUAGUGUCAGAUUUGAUUCACUUCCAUUGAACCCAUUGAACAAGAAUUCAACUCCCUGAACCAGAGAGCAAAUGGGAAACAAGAAGACAAGGAACAAGGUUAAAGAAACUGCUAAAGCCAUUGAAGUUUUGAGCUGAGAAUUUGCAGAUUAGAGCAAGUCGAAAGACUUUAAUGUAGCUGAGAAGUGAGAGGAAGGUGAAGGACUUGAAUUGGUCAAGGUUUAGAGCAUAUGGUCUGUGCUGAGCCCAAGUCAGCAAGAAUGGUAACCAACCCUGUUAACAGGGAACUUAGAUUUCUUGGGCAAGAUGCUCAUUUUCGCGUUGGGGGGAGAGGUGUUCUGAUCAAUUUUCCAAGCUAAAAAGACUUGAGUGAAAUUAUUGCCUCCAUUGACUUGCUCAACCUUUAACAUUUAAACCUCUUAUGAAAUGUCAUGGAAGAAAAGGCCUUGAGUGCUUAUCAACUUAUCUCCAGUAUUUUAGUCGCUAUAGAUCCUUCUGUGAACUCUUCGGCACAAAAUGACCGUUAACUAUAAAUUCAGCCUUGACCCAUUUGACAUGCAGAGAGCAACCAUUGCAAUUACACAAAGAAUGGGAAGAAACAAGGAAAUUAUAAUUUUUGGGCUUGUACGUGGGCUUUUUGCACUUUCAAAUGAUGAUGUUAUGUGUCAGCAGUAAGAGGUUUAGCCCAACACGACACCCAGAUAAUCAAAUGAUGAUGUUAUGUGUUUAGGAAUUUAAUAUGGCUUAAAUGCAAAAAUAGUCCAUGUGUUUUAUCACGUUGGUCAAUUUAGUCUCUGUGUUUUUAAUUUGGCUAAUUUGGUUUAUCUAUUUAGAACCGUUAGCCAAUGUUAUUCAUUCCGUUAAAUUUUUGUUGAAAAAAUUAAAAACUAUUUAAAUAUUAAUUUUAAAAAAUAAUUAUUUGAAUACAAUUUAAAAUUAAAUAAAUAAGUGCAAAACUAAAAAAAACUAAAAAUCAAAAACUGUUAUGAAAUAACCUGGGAUAUGUGCGAAUUUUGAGCUGCACGUAAAGUAGAUGAGACACAGUAUUUAACGAGGUUCGGCUACGCCUACGUCCUCGGAGAGCAGCAACAGUAACCUUUCACUAUAUAAUACUAUGACUACAAUAGUGUUUACAAUAUGUAUGACUCACUGAAUUUUCUCUCUUCUUUUUCUCUUCUUUUUCUCUUCUUCCUUUUCUUUCUUUUC